rnacentral:rRNA from 1 species
ACCAACAGGGAUUCCCUUAGUAACGGCGAGCGAAAAGGGAUGAGCCCAGCAUGUAAAUCUCCGGUUUCCGGCGAAUUGUAGUCUGGAGUAGCAUCUCCUGGUGCCGUGCCGGCCCAAGCAUCUUGGAAUAGAUCGCCUCAGAGGGUGAGAGCCCCGUAGGUCGGUACGAGCUCCUACACGGAGUGCUCACGCAGAGUCGGGUUGUUUGGGAAUGCAGCCCCAAUCGGGUGGUAAACCCCAUCUAAGGCUAAAUACCUGUGGGAGACCGAUAGCAAAAAAGUACCUCGAGGGAACGAUGAAAAGACCGCUGGCAAGCGAGUGAAAGAGUGCAUGAAAUUGUAUAGUGGGAAGGGAUGGCCUGGCGUAUUGCCCGCGGGUAUACACUGCUCCUUGAGCUCUUGAAUACACCGUGGGCUGGCUGGUGCCGACACCUGCGCUUGCAAAUCCCCAAACUAAGGUGUUUGGUUCUUCAAGCGCGGGUGUUGAGGUUGAUCGUCGCUCUGUUUUAAACUGCGUCGAUCA